AUGCUGGUGAACAAACAUGAAACAAAGGAAUUACGUCUUGGAGAUUUGAUUGGCUUUGGGAAGUUAAAACCAAAACGUUUGUAUGCUUUCCAGCACUUGAUGUCACUGGUGGAGACCAAGAAGAUAGCGGAAAAACUGGAUGUGGCCGAGUUGAAGGGCAAGAGGGUCUUAGUGAGGGUGGAUUUGGAUGUCCCCCUUAAUGAGAACUUUCAGAUCAUGGAUGACACUAGACUCCAAGCCUCUGUUCCCACAAUCAAGCACUUGCAAGAAAAAGGUGCCAAAAUUACCCCUCCGUUUCCCGCAAUUGAGGGCUUCAAGUACUUAGCCAAGAAGCUUGUUUCACUUGCGGAUGUCUUUGUAAAUGAUUCUUUUGGCACAUCUCACUUGGCUCAUGCAUCAACAGAAGGCCUGGCUAAGUACUUGAAGCCUUCAGCUGCGGGAAACCUUUUGCGUCAUGAAGGGCACUAUCUUGUUGAUGUUUUAUCAUUUCCGAAGAGACCAUUUGCAGCCGUUGUCAGUGGGUUUAAUCUUUCAUUGAAGAUUGGGGUAAUAGAGUACUUACUGGACAAGGUUGAUAUUCUGUUAUUGGGUGGAGGGCUGAUCUUCACCUUUCUCAUGGCAGAGGGGUAUUCCAUUGUAUCUUCCCUUGUCGAAAGAGCUAUGGUUGAUGCUGCCAAAAAGGUUUUGGAGAAGGCAAAGGAGAAACAAGUUCGUAUGCUCCCAACGGAUGUAGCGAUUUCGAAAACGCUCUCUGCUGAUGCCAAUAGAAAGGUGGUUUCAGUGUCUUAACAUAUAGCUCUCUAUGGGGAUGGAUAUAGGAACGGAUUCCAUCAAGAGGUUCACUGAUGUUCUUAUCAUUUGGAGUGGACCAAUGGGCAUGUCUGAGUUUGACAAUUUUGCAGUUGGUACUGAGGCAAUUGCAAGAAAGCUUGCGGACUUGACUGAGAAGGAGGAAGUUUCAACUAUAGUUCGAGGGGGUGCCACUGUUGCUGCUGUGAGGAGGCUUGGCCUUAGAAUGAGCCACAUGUCAGCAGGUGAGAGUGAUGCAAGCCUGGAGUUCCUAAAAGGGUUACCCCUCCCUGGAAUCCUUGCACUGGAUUCAGUUGAUUAAGGCUCACCAUUUUCGAGUUUUCUAGUUUAGUUUGUGAACUGGAUUUGUGGUCUGCUUGCUCUUUUUAACUUUUGGGAUCUUCCCUCUCUUUCUAGUAUCCACCUCAGAUCCAGAUGCAAAACUUAAAUAUAUGGAAACUUAACAUGUUUUUAGGUACAUUGAGUUCAUCUCAUAUUUUAGUAAAUCUCAGUACCGUCUUGAGG